GAUGAAGAACGUAGCGAAAUGCGAUAAGUAAUGUGAAAUGCAGAAUUCCGUGAAUCAUCGAAUCUUUGAACGCACAUUGCGCCCCCUGGUAUUCCGGGGGGCAUGCCUGUCCGAGCGUCAUUGCAACCCUCAAGCGCGGCUUGUGUGUUGGGCUUCGUCCCCCCGUGGACGUGCCCGAAAGGCAGUGGCGGCGUCCCGAAUGGUGCCCGAGCGUAUGGGAACUCUCUUCCGCUCGAACCGGCCCAUUCGGCGCUGGUCGAACCCCAAUUUUUUUUUACCGGUUGACCUCGGAUCAGGUAGGGAUACCCGCUGAACUUAAGCAUAUCAAUAAGCGGAGGA
rnacentral:misc_RNA from 1 species